GCUCUGGCUUGAUCUCUCGUUAUGACCUUGUAUUAUUUGUAAUCAUCAAUUUUAAUUUUGCGCUUGGUUUAGCGUAUUGUAAUGCUGAUGAAAGAGAAUAAGUUUGCAGGAGCUUAGAGAAUAACAUGUUUUCUGGAACUGUUCCUCCUGAGCUUGGGAAAUUGGUUUUCUUGAAUUAUCUCAAUCUGAAUGCCAACAAUCUCACAGGAGAGCUGCCCAGGGCUCUCACUAAUCUGACCGAGUUAACAGAACUUAGGAUUAGCAGUAACAAAUUCACUGGAAAAAUACCUGAUUUUUUUCAAAGCUGGAAACAACUUCAGAAAC